UACGAAGGGGGCUAGCGUUGCUCGGAAUCACUGGGCGUAAAGGGUGCGUAGGCGGGUCUUUAAGUCAGGGGUGAAAUCCUGGAGCUCAACUCCAGAACUGCCUUUGAUACUGAGGAUCUUGAGUCCGGGAGAGGUGAGUGGAACUGCGAGUGUAGAGGUGAAAUUCGUAGAUAUUCGCAAGAACACCAGUGGCGAAGGCGGCUCACUGGCCCGGUACCGACGCUGAGGCACGAAAGCGUGGGGAGCAAACAGG
rnacentral:rRNA from 1 species